rnacentral:rRNA from 1 species
UACGGGGGGGGCAAGCGUUGUUCGGAAUUACUGGGCGUAAAGGGCUCGUAGGCGGCCAACUAAGUCAGACGUGAAAUCCCUCGGCUUAACCGGGGAACUGCAUCUGAUACUGGAUGGCUUGAGUUCGGGAGAGGGAUGCGGAAUUCCAGGUGUAGCGGUGAAAUGCGUAGAUAUCUGGAGGAACACCGGUGGCGAAGGCGGCAUCCUGGACCAACACUGACGCUGAGUGAGCGAAAGCCAGGGGAGCAAACGGG